GGGGCUGUGGCUCAGCUGGCAGAGCGUCUGCUUGGCAUGCAGGGGGUCCCCGGUUCAAUUCCAGGCAUCUCCA